CCUACGGGAGGCAGCAGUAGGGAAUCUUCGGCAAUGGGGGCAACCCUGACCGAGCAACGCCGCGUGAGUGAAGAAGGUUUUCGGAUCGUAAAGCUCUGUUGUUAGAGAAGAAUGAUGGUGGGAGUGGAAAAUCCACCAAGUGACGGUAACUAACCAGAAAGGGACGGCUAACUACGUGCCAGCAGCCGCGGUAAUACGUAGGUCCCGAGCGUGGUCCGGAUUUAUUGGGCGUAAAGCGAGCGCAGGCGGUUUUUUAAGUCUGAAGUUAAAGGCAUUGGCUCAACCAAUGUACGCUUUGGAAACUGGAGAACGUGAGUGCAGAAGGGGAGAGUGGAAUGCCAUGUGUAGCGGUGAAAUGCGUAGAUAUAUGGAGGAACACCGGUGGCGAAAGCGGCUCUCUGGUCUGUAACUGACGCUGAGGCUCGAAAGCGUGGGGAGCAAACAGGAUUAGAUACCCUAGUAGUC
rnacentral:rRNA from 1 species